GGAAAACAGCGCUGCGGCCGAGCCUGCUCGGAACGAAACCAGCAAAAAACAGGAGAUACACACGGAUAGACAGAUACAGAUCCCUAAAUGGGUUUCAGCCUUACUUUAAAAGCCCUGGUUUGGCUUUUCCAUUGGGAUUUUGAGCUGCUCCCAUGAAGAUUCUUGGAGGAUACUCCUGGAGCCCCCUGGUCCAGCUCUAGGGAUGCGACAGAGCUCCUGAAUACCCUUAAUAUUUGGAUUUAACAGUUGGAGCUUCUUGGAUUUCACUUUUUAUCCUUAAACCUGGAUUAAUUAAACCUGGAUUAAUUAAACCCCAGGAUUAAUAAAACUGGGAUUAAAGUACAUUAAACCCUCCAGUCCUUGGGUUAGAGUGGAAUGGAGAAAAGUCCUGUCUGAAAAAGCAGGAACACCGAUCCAAAUAAAAUCAAUUGUUAUAAUUUCAUGUGUUCCAAUUAAUAAAUAAAAAGUUUUCCAGCCAGACAGCAACUUCCUUGUCCUAAACUGACCUGAUUUUGUUGGCUUUUCACUCAGUAAACACAGCAAAGAUGGGAAAACAAAAGGAAUUUCUGGUUUAUAUAUGAAAAGAGGGAAAUUACCUCCAGUUGUAGCUCUUCUGAAAGUGGGCUUUCCAUUAGAUCCCUUAUUUUGCAUUUGAAGGGCACCACGACAGGGAUGAAAACAUGGGGAGAAAAGAGGUCGGCGCUAAAAAUAACCGCGUGAGUCACAGUCGGCGCUGGGAGUUUUGUGCCGACAGAGCCAGAGCUGAAACCCACGGGAAGAGGAGAGGAAAAAAUCUUCAGCCUCACACGUUCAUGCAUGAGGAUUCCUAGUCCUUCUCCAAAAAGAAAGAAAAAGAAGGACAUAUAGAGAUAGAUAGGUAGAUAGACAUAGAUAUUUGUAUUUAAUCCCACUUUUUCCAUUCCAUAAAACUGCCUUGGGUUUCCCAAAGAACACCUAAAACAACCAAAACAGCAGAAAAAGGGGAUUUCCCCCCCACUUCCAUGAUAUUAUGAUUAAUUAAUUCUGAUUUACCUAUGAUUUUCCCCUUGAGGAGCUAUUUCUGCAGUCUAAGGCUGUUAAUUACAAUAAUUAAUCUUUAAUGAUAAUAAGCAGACCAUGGCCACUCCCAUGGUUUCUUUUACAGGGAUGUUGCUUUUUAAAAAAUUUUCUGGAUUAAUUCUUUGAUUUUAUUUUAUCCCAUUGCCAUGAUGUGGAGGAUGCCAUGGGGGAAUUUGCUGGGGAGAGUUGCUGAGUUUUUUGGGUCCAGUCACUGGGAUUUUCUCCACCUGGGGAGGAAAAGGGUGGAACAGGGAGAAAAAAAAGGUGGAAUAGGGAGGAAAAAAAAGAUGGAUUACAAAGAGAAAGGGUUGAAUAGGGAGAAAAUUGGUGGAAUAGGGAGAAAAGCCAGGAGAACAGGUAGAAAAAAGGUGGAAUAGUGAGAAAAAAAAGCGGGAUAGAGACAAAAAAAAAAAGGUGGAAUAGGGAGAA